rnacentral:rRNA from 1 species
GUGAUUCCCUUAGUAGCGGCGAGUGAACAGGGAGAAGCCCAUCGUGAAGAGGUACAUAUUAUGUAUCUCGGUGUGCGGUGUGUGUAGUCAUCCGCGUCGAUCGAUCAUUCGCACUAAUUGUGUUGGAAUACACAGCCAGAGAGGGUGAGAGCCCCGUGAGUGUGUUUGAAAUUCGAGAGACAUAAUGGUUGCUACAUCAGAGUAUAGUUGUUUGAAAUUGCAACUAGAAGGAUGGGGAUAUGUCUCCCCAAAGGCUAAAUAUUAAGGUGAAACCGAUAGUAAACAAGUACCGUGAGGGAAAGUUGAAAAGCACUCUGAAGAGAGAGUGAAAAGUAUGUGAAACCGAUGCGGGGGAAGGGAAUUGGUCGCUAGAAUACUUAAUGCCGCGAUAAAGGCGGUGACAAAGUAGUGCCUAUAGUAUUGUGAAAGCAGUGAUGGCGAAGAGGUAGAGCUGUUGUUUUUACUGUAUUGUAUUAACUCAGUCUAUCCUAGUAGUUAUCUCAAAUGAGACCGCAAUUUGAACGCUGCACAAAAGUACCGAUAUGAAUAGCAUUUAUAGUGGCCAUUCCUGCCCGUCUUGAAACACGGACCAAGGAGUGUGUUGUUGCGUGCAAGUCAAUUCAUGAACAUUUAGAUGAAUAUGGCGCAGUGAAAGCAAAGACCCUUCUGAAUAGUUGGUAGCUUCAGUAGUGAUGGUAUAGGUGCAGGUAUCCGCAACUACCAGUGGCAAUUUGCACAUAAUCUGUCAUCUGUUAGCACGUAACACACGACCCGAAAGAUGGUGAUCUAUGCUUGGGCAGAGUGAAGCCACGAGAAAUCAUGGUGGAAGCUCGCAGCGAUUCUGACGUGCAAAUCGAUCGCGUGACCUGAGUAUAGGGGCGAAAGACCAAUCGAACCAUCUAGUAGCUGGUUCCCUCCGAAGUUUCCCUCAGGAUAGCAAAGGUACAAUCAUAUUGAAAUAAUUUCAUCGGGUAAAGCGAAUGAUUAGAGGACUGGGGGAAUAUAAUUCCUUCACCUAUUCUCAAACUUUAAAUCGGUGAGACGUUCUUGUCAUUUAAUUAGACUUGAACUAAUGAAUGGGGCUUGCAGUCUUGAGCUGUAUAGCAACCAGUGAAUAUGAGUAUCUUUUGUGGGCCGUUUUUGGUAAGCAGAACCGGCGAUGUGGGAUGAACCAAAAGGCAAGUUAAGGCGCCUAACUGCUUGUUCAUGAGUUACCACAAAAUGUGUUGGUUGAUGGAGACAGCAGGACGGUGGCCAUGGAAGUCGGAAUCCGCUAAGGAGUGUGUAACAACUCACCUGCCGAAUCAACCAGCCAUGAAAAUGGAUGGCACUAGAACUCGCGGCCUAUACUUGUCCAUGAACUUAAAAAUUCGGACGUUAAGCGGUUGAUCUGCACCCUUCCGUGUCUGAGUGAUUCAGAUUUGUUUGCGACCUGAUCUAUUAAUUUAGUUCUAACCGCAUCUAAGUUGAAUAUAGUUCAUGAGUAGGAGGGAACAGCGGUCGCAGUAAAGCAUGCUUGUGAAAUCAUGUGUGUAGCGGCCGUUGGCUCAGAUCUUGGUGGUAGUAGCAAGUACUCAAUUAUGAACUUUGAGGACUGAAGCGGGAAAGGUUUCCAUGUGAACAGUGUUUGAACAUGGGUUAGUCGGUCCUGAAGAACAUGCUUAUGCAAAUUGAAUGUUCACGUUCUAUUGUUUCAUUAAUUUGUCUCAAUUAGACUGGACAAGUUCUGAAAGGGAAAUGGGUUAAUAUUCCCAUACUAUUUCUAUCUGUAUUUGAGAUGACGGCAACGUUGCGUGUUGAUUUAACUCGGUCGAUUGGGCACUGGGGAAGAGUUUUCUUUUCUUGUUAACCAGAUAACAGCUCCUUGGAAUUGCUUUAUGCAGAGAUAAGGGCUUGUAGACUGGAAAGAGUACAACAGCAUUUGUUGUAUCCCACGCUGUCUGUUGAUCCCUUGAAAGUUAGAUCACACAAUAUACUAAUAGAAAUAACCGUACCUUAAACCGCAUCAGGUCCCCAAGGUGAGAAGCCGGGUGUAUUAUGCUAGUUCUCUCGUCUUGUUUCAGUGUUGGAUUUACGGGCUUUAUUUUGUCGUGUCAAAACUUCAUUAUUUAGACGUUUAUCCUCGCCGUUCAAUUCGUUUGAUUAGCCUAACUGAUACGCAUUUAACGAUCAAAAUUAGAACUGGUUCGGACAAGGGGAAUCCGACUAGUUAAUUAAACUAAAGCAUUGUGAUGGCUGGUAUAUCCGGUGAUGACACAAUGUGAUUUCUGCCCAGUGCUCUGAAUGUCAAAGUGAAGAAAUUCAAUAAAGCGCGGGUAAACGGCGGGAGUAACUAUGACUCUCUUAAGGUAGCCAAAUGCCUCGUCAUCUAAUUAGUGACGCGCAUGAAUGGAUUAACGAGAUUCCUACUGUCCCUAUCUACCUUCCAGCGAAACCACAGCCAUGGGAACGGGCAUGGUGUAGUCAGCGGGGAAAGAAGACCCUGUUGAGCUUGACUCUAGUCAGAUUUUGUAAAGUGGCUCAAAAGGCGUAGAAUAGGUGGGAGAUUUGGAUGAAAUACUCCAUUUCGUCAGUGAAAUACCACUACUUUUGUUGUCGCUUUACUAAUCCAAUUGCAAUAUAAAUUUGAGUGUAACAACUUAAAGUUCUUUUAGAACAAGUCGGUGACCACGGCACUGGCAAAUAUAAUUGGAGACAGAAUCUGGUGGGGAGUUUGACUGGGGCGGUACAUCUGUUAAAAGAUAACGCAGGUGUCCCAAGGCUAACUCAUCGGGGACAGAAACCUCGAGUAGAGCAAAAGGGCAAAUGUUAGCUUGAUCUUGUUUUUCAGUGUGAAAACAGACCGUGAAAGCGGGGCCUAUCGAUCCUUUCGGUUUUAGAGACUUUAAACGAGAGGUGUCAGAAAAGUUACCACAGGGAUAACUGGCUUGUGGCAGCCAAGCGUUCAUAGCGACGUUGCUUUUUGAUCCUUCGAUGUCGGCUCUUCCUAUCAUUGCUCAGCAGAAUAAGCAAAGUGUCGGAUUGUUCACCCGCUAACAGGGAACGUGAGCUGGGUUUAGACCGUCGUGAGACAGGUUAGUUUUACCCUACUGACCAAAAUUAUAUAGUUGACAGUACUUUCACUUAGUACGAGAGGAACCGUGAAUGCAAGUCAAUGGCAUCUACGCCUGCUCGAGUGGCCGGG